GAUAAAAAUAAAUGGAAAUUAUAAAAUUCAAGAAACAAGAGACUCGUAAUAAUCCUUUCUCUUAGAAUGGAUGAUUCAAAAGUGUUGUUUAGAAGAUUUGAUCAUAGGAUAAUCCCCAUUUGUGUGAGACAUAUGAGAUCAUAUGUAAUAACUUAAACUGUAAACCUAGCAAGCAGUGACCUUUAAAAUUUUUGAAAAUUCUUGAAAUUCGUUAAAAUAUAAAAUAAGCUGACAGAAUGAAAAAAGAAUAAAAUUUGUUUGACCUUAUUUUGUAAUAUUGUAAAUUUGAAAUGUGACUUAUAUUUUCUAUUCAUUUAGGAAAAGUGAUUAAAUUAUUACACAUAAUAUAA